GUGGUUUGGCGUACGUCUAUUCCGAGUUCCAUUUGGAAUCCUUCCUUCGCUGUCUCUAGGAUCCAAUACGUCCAAAUGUCUGUGUAGGUCUUUGUGGUCACGUUAGUCGUCAUGGUCAGUUCUUCUGUUAUUCUGAGUUCCUCCAUUUGGCUGAACCAAGUCUUAAGUGGAGGUGUUAUGUUCUGUUUCCAGUAUUGGGGGAUUACCCGUUUGUCUAUAUUGAGUAUUCGGAUGGUCAUGGAUCGUUUGUACUUAGAGUGUGGUGUAGGAGUGUGGUGUAGGAGUGUGGUGUAGGAGCAUUGCUGCUGGUUCCAAGG